GAGUUUGAUCAUGGCUCAGGACGAACGCUGGCGGCGUGCCUAAUACAUGCAAGUAGAACGCUGACUACUUUAGCUUGCUAGAGUAGAAGGAGUUGCGAACGGGUGAGUAACGCGUAGGUAACCUGCCUACUAGCGGGGGAUAACUAUUGGAAACGAUAGCUAAUACCGCAUAACAGUGUUUAACACAUGUUAGAUGCUUGAAAGAUGCAAAUGUAUCACUAGUAGAUGGACCUGCGUUGUAUUAGCUAGUUGGUGGGGUAACGGCCUACCAAGGCGACGAUACAUAGCCGACCUGAGAGGGUGAUCGGCCACACUGGGACUGAGACACGGCCCAGACUCCUACGGGAGGCAGCAGUAGGGAAUCUUCGGCAAUGGGGGCAACCCUGACCGAGCAACGCCGCGUGAGUGAAGAAGGUUUUCGGAUCGUAAAGCUCUGUUGUAAGAGAAGAACGUGUGUGAGAGUGGAAAGUUCACACAGUGACGGUAACUUACCAGAAAGGGACGGCUAACUACGUGCCAGCAGCCGCGGUA
rnacentral:rRNA from 1 species